rnacentral:rRNA from 1 species
AUGGCUUUAUGGAUUUCUUGUGACUGUGGUGAGAAUAAUGACAAAUGGAUUGUGGCGGCACCAGGUGACAGAGACAAAAAAGUUAUUAUCCUUUCGAGCAAAGCUGAGUGCAUCUCCUUGAUGUUCAACAGAAUUCCUAUCAGGUUUAAUCUUGAUCCAUUAAAAUUGAGGAUCUUGUGCCUUCGGAACAACGAAUUUGAUGAAAGCUUAAUUGUUGAAGAAAUUAAGAAUUCCAGUUCACUGACAUAUCUGGAUUUGAGCGGAAACAACCUCAAGGGGAUACCGGAAGAAUUAUGUUCCUUGGUAAAGCUGGAAUACCUUGAUUUGUCGGAAAAUCAAUUUGGGGAAACUGAAGUGCCUCCCUCCUUUGGAAACCUCAUCAACCUCAAGUUCUUGUACCUAAAGUCUGGUAUUGGUUCCGUGAGAAUACCAGCUGGGGUCAUGUCUAGCCUUAAAGCAUUGCAGGUAAUAGACUUGAGAAGUUUCUUAAGAAAAUGUACCCAAUUCCUAUACCGAGAGUUGGGCACCCUAUCUCAGUUGAAAGCGCUUGGUAUUUUGGUCCGAGAUUUAGCUCAGUUUGAGUCACUAGGAGAAGCGGAUAGCCUCCCUGUUAGAUAUUUGGCUCUGAAUGACGUAUGUGCACUCACUCGUAUUUUAUCAAUGGACUUUGCACGAAGGACCUUGUAUGAAGUGGAUAUCAAUGAAUUGGAUAUUAAUGAAGAAUUUGACACUCGAGAAAUAACAGUAGUACAACAUGACACGGAACAACCAAACAACCAUUUUGGUGCUCUCAACAAACUCAGCUUAACUUUUAUGAGAUCCUUGAGAGAGAUAAAGUGGAUGGGAGCAACUCCGGCAUUUAUAUUCCAAAGGCUCACUUAUUUGGAAUUGUUUUUGUGCCAACAGCUAUUGCACCUCUCUUGGGUUAUGUAUUUGCCUCGCCUUGAACAACUUCAUAUAAUUUCCUGUGAUGGUAUGGUGCAAGCAUUUAUGAGGUGCCACGGUGACAAAUUGUGCAAUGGACAGGACAAGACAAAAACAUUUCCUCGCCUCAAGCUUCUCGUUCUUAUUUAUACCAAAUCGUUGGAAACUAUUGGGGACAACGGUAUGAAAUUCCCAUCCCUAGAGCGACUUGAGCUUGAAGGUAGUCUGGCAUUGAAGAGGCUUCCUUUCUGGUCGGACAGUUUGCCUCCAAAGCUGAAGGAGGUACGGUUUGAUGAUGCUCGAUGCUGGGAGAGACUGGAAUGCGAAGAAGGUGUCAAAACUAUCCUGCAACCCUAUCUUAAUUUUGGCAGACGAUAUCAGGGUUAA